AAUACAGAUGUUUGCGGUGGGAGUGCCAUUUUAGGCCCGUUUCUUUUUGAAACUGGGCUUGGAAUUGCCAGGGAUCAGCAGAGCUAUGGGCUCACAAAGAGGGCACUGUCUUUGAGGAAUCUUUACAUAAGCCCUGCACAACCAAGGCAACAGGAGUUUGCACAGCUGCUGCUGGAAGCAAACAUGUACUUUUAGCUGACCUGGGCUGAUGACUUUGGGCGUUAAAUCUGACGCUUUCCAGAUGUACAGACCUCUCCUGCCACAGUCCCCAAACAUUCAGUCCCCAGGUGUGGUAUUUAUAAAGGCUCUAAAAUUGGCAGCAAGAGAAAGGCACAUAUUCUUCUGUCCUGGAGACUGCCCCAAAACAGACAGCUGCAGCCCAGCCUCUCCUUAUUUUCCCUGCCAGUUCUCUCAAGCAUGACUGGUUUGAGGACCACCUUCAGUGAGAUCAAAAGGGAACAAUGUGUAGCUGCUGUGAUGUCUCACAGACCUUUAGAGUCUCUGCACCAUGGCAGAUGGAGUCCUCGAGGAAACAGCCUGCAGGAAAGAUGAGACAUCUAAACCACAGCCCACUGAGACUGUGUACUUAUAGGAAAAUGAGGUUUUAAUGGUUUAUUGAACACAUUGAAACCAAAACAUAGUUUCUGAUUUUGUUCCAACUGGCCCUAAAGAAAAUAUUUCUUCUUGACUUUUCUUAAUUGAAAAAAAAGGGGACAUUUUUAUUUCUCUAUUGUGAAAGGAAAGAAGGUUCAGAAUCAGGAUGUUUUUCUCCCUGAAAAUUUCAAUUUUGUGCAAACUGCCUCUUUACUGGGCAGCCUUCCCAAAGGGAAUCCCCAGCCAGCCCCAGUGCUAAUAUCAGUGCACAGUGUUUGGAGCCGAUCCAAAGGUCAUUCACGCCAUUAGACAUUUUUAUCGUGGACUUGAAUAAACUUUGGACCAGGCUCUUUUGGCAAGAGCAUGCACAGUCUGGAAACCUAAAAAUAAAUCCUGAUUUGGAGCCAUCCACAGCUUUUCAGUCACCAUGAUGGUACAUCGGUAUGAGCUUGUCAGAGAGGUGAUGAGGUGAUUUGGUCUCCUCUGUAGCUGGAGAAUCUUUAGCUGCUUGUUGAAAUAAACAAGGGAGAAGAUGGUGUUCCACAAGCUCAAUGUUAAGACCUCUUGAUGAAGAAUUUUCCUGUGAUGCAUCAGCCCUGGAAGGUUGAGAUAGAAGGUGUUGUCUCAAGGGAUGAUCUGGUUUUCUCUUCAAGAAGAUUUUCAGCAUAAUAGCUCCU